rnacentral:misc_RNA from 1 species
GAGCCUGCUUACCUCAUCCCCGCGUCCUUCCCUCUACCUCUCUCCCUUUCUCGCAUCGCUUCCGUGUAACCCUAGACAGGCACACGCACACACGUACGCACGAGGGAGAGACAGGCGCACACGCACACCCCAUAGACGCCCUUCACACCAGCUUCACGCGCUUCCCGUCAGAAACAUUUUCGGUUGCAUCUCCUUCCUCACUGGCCCACUGUGCACCACCGAGCAAGACACACCGCGGUUUGUCUGUAGGUGCCACCACCGUUACGUUGCCCAUCCACUGGGCUUCCCUUUCCACAGAGCUCGCAUAGGGACACAAGCUCGCGAACUCGCCAGGCAAGGGCCGACGAAGGUGGAAGAGCGAGCGCGCCACUGUCUCGUCGUGCCCUUUUCUCGGUUCUCCUUUCGUGGCAUCUUUUCUCGCACGUGCAGCCCACCACGCCUGCCCCGAUAGGGCCGGCAGGCAAGAGGGGAGGGACUGGGGACUGUCAUUGGCGUUCGUAUCGCUUCUGCGUGUGUCAAAGAGCGGACGGCGCGCGAGCUUCAGGCGACGUGGCUUGCAGAGUGCACCUGUGAAGGCGCAGGCAUACACGCUGACCUUCGCGCAGAUACUAAAGGGAGGGAGCACCACGCCGUGAAGCUCUCUCGCGAGUCUUGCGCGACGGCAGUCACAUAUACGAUCCGCUGAGUCAUUGCACUUUUCCUGAGCUUCGGUCGAACGUGUGUGAGCGAACUCUGCGGACCGAAGCACGUCCAAUGGCGUUAUCGGGACUUCUCUGCCGCGUGAGUUGCUACGUGGCGCCGUCGCUGAGCGGCACGCGGCUUUACCGCGGUGUCAUGAGCCGCGCCUCCAGCACCGCGCUGGCGCUGCCCAUCAGCGCCUCAUUGACGUCCUCCUCGGUGGUGCCCUUGAGCUACGCCGGCUCCUUGCGGGAGGGCAGGCGCGGCUACGCUCAAGAGCGCAACCCGCACGAUAGCAAUACGGAGGACAUCUCCAACACCUUCUUCGACGUCCAGGACGUGGAUGCGGAUCGUCUCACCCACUUUUACUGGGACUCCAACGACGACGCGGACACUCCGUACGACACCGUCUCUCUGGACAGCCUCUUUGGUGAAGGGGAGGCGGAUGAGUGGUCUGGGGAGUCGCUGGCCUUCGUGGACGAGCGCGACCAGCUCCUGCUGGGUGAGGAGUACCUUAAGUGAGCCUGGAGAGCAGAGGGACGCUUGGUUUUGGAGACCUGUGGGGUAGAUAAGCGGAGGUGGUCGAGUGUGGACAGGCGGCUGGGCCACAGAUGCACUGGCGCAUGAUCUCCUUAGCUGUGGCCGCCCACUUGUACACGCGCACGUACAUCCGCAGGUGUGCACUGCUGGCGCCUCUGUGCCUCACGAAAGCACCGCGGUGGUGUUUUGUGCACUGCUGUUUGGCGGCUGAAGGCGGCCCUCGCCACCCUCGUGCUUCUCUUGUCUCCGCCCUCCGCCCUCCUUCUCCUCCCUCCCCUGCCACUCUGCGUAGGUGUGAUGUGCCUGUGGUGCUGCCGUCGGGAGUAUCGCCGCCGAGGGCUCUUUUACCUUGUUGCGUGACAGACAACUAGACCAAUGCCCGCAUGCGUGCGUGUUCGUGUCUCACGCGUACCUGAGCUCAUAGAGGCCACACAGAAUGAACAUGGAGGAUGACAUAAAGAGCGCAG